UACGUAGGGUGCAAGCGUUGUCCGGAAUUAUUGGGCGUAAAGAGCUCGUAGGCGGUUUGUCGCGUCUGCUGUGAAAUCCCGAGGCUCAACCUCGGGCCUGCAGUGGGUACGGGCAGACUAGAGUGCGGUAGGGGAGAUUGGAAUUCCUGGUGUAGCGGUGGAAUGCGCAGAUAUCAGGAGGAACAUCAGUGGCGAAAGCGGCACCCUGGCAUUAGCCUGACGCUCAUGUGCGAAAGCGUGGGGAGCGAACGGG
rnacentral:rRNA from 1 species